UUUCCUCUUCGCGCAGACGGUGCAGGCGCCGCUCGAGGUUUACUCGGAGUGGCUCAGCGUGGGCCACGUCGAUGAGUUCCUCACCUUCGUCCCUGCCCUCGACAGGAAGGGAUUCCGGCUGCUCCUGGCCAGCCCCAACGCCUGCUACAAGCUCUUCAAGGAGAAGCAGCAGCAGGGCCACGGGGAGGCCACGCAGUUCAUUGGGCUGAAGGGCAGCGAGCAGAGGAGCAUCG